UUUUAUACGACCGCAAAAAUUAAAAAUUUUUUGGUCGUAUAUUGGUAUGACGUUGGCGUCGUCGUCGUCGUCGUCGUCGUCGUCGUCGUCGUCGUCGUCGUCGUCGUCGUCGUCGUCUGGCGUCGUCCGGCGUCGUCCGAAGACACAUUGGUUUUCGCACUCUAACUUUAGUUUAAGUGAAUGGAUCUCCAUGAAAUUUUACCAUAAGGUUCAAUACCACAAAAGGAAGGUUGGGAUUGAUUUUGGGGGUUAUGGUACCAACGGUUAAGGAAUUAGGGGCCAAAAGGGGCCAAAAAUAAGCAUUUUUGUAACUUUCAGACAAUAACUUGUGUGUAAGUGUAUGGAUCUCUCUGACAUUGUACCACAAGGUUACAUAUCACAAAGGGAAAGCUGGGUUUGAGUUUGGGGGUAAUUGCCUCCAAAUUUUAGGAAAAAGGGGCCAAAAAGGGGCAAAAAACAAGCAUUUUUCUAGUUUCAUGACAAUAACUUGUGUGUAAGUCUAUGGAUCUCUCUGAAAUUGUAUCACAAGGUUCCAUAUCACAAAGGGAAUGCUGGGGUUGAUUUUGGGGUUAAUUGCCUCCAAUUUUUAGGAAUAAGGGGCAAAAAAAGGGGCAAAAAACAAGCAUUUUUCUAGUUUCAUAACAAUAACUUGUGUGUAAGUGUAUGGAUCUUUAUGAAAUUGUAAUACAAGGUUCCAUAUCACAAAGGGAAAGCUGGGUUUGAGUUUGGGGGUAAUUGCCUUAAACGUUUAGGAAUUUAGGGCCAAAAAGGGGCCACAAAACAAGCAUUUUUCUAGUUUCCAGACAAUAACUUGUGUUCAAGUGUAUGGAUCUCUCUGAAAUUAUGCUGCAAGGUACCAUACUACAAAGGGAAGGCUGGGAUUGAUUUUGGGGGUAAUUCCCUCAAAAUUUCAGUAGUUAGGGGCCAUAAAAGGGCAAAAAACAAGCAUUAUUCUAGUUUCAGGACAAUAACUUGUGUGUAAGUGUAUGGAUCUUUAUGAAAUUGUACUGCAAGGUUCCAUAUCACAAAGGGAAAGCUGGGUUUGAGUUUGGGGGUAAUUGCCCAUAACGUUUAGGAAUUUGGGGCCAAAAAGGGGCCAAAAAAACAAGCAUUUUUCUAGUUUCCAGACAAUAACUUGUGUUCAAGUGUAUGGAUCUCUCUGAAAUUGUGCUGCAAGGUACCAUACCACAAAGGAAAGGCUGGGAUUGUGUUUGGGGGUGAUGAAUCAUAAGGGGGUUCAAAAAAUUUGAGGGGAAUUUUUUUUUCCUUUUUUUUCUUUAAAAUUUACCAUUUUAAAUUGGUUAUUUCUGAUUUAUAUAUAAAAGCAAAUAAUAAUGAUAUGGUUUGAAUAGGUAAAUUAAAAUUUUUUAAGUUCUUAGACCACUUUCAUUCUGUGUCAGAAACCUAUGCUGUGUCAAAUAUUUAAUUACAAUCCAAAUUCAGUGCUGUAUCAAGCUUGAAUGUUGUGUCCAUACUUGCCCCAACUGUUCAGGGUUCGACCUCUGCGGUCGUAUCAAGCUGCGCCCCAGCGGAGCAUUUUAUUUUAAAAAGAGUUAUGCCCCUGACAAACAUUAAUUAUAUUGAAAAUUGCAUCGUUAGCGCUCUCAUGUGUACAAUACUUGUCAGAAUUUUAUGAAAAUUAUAUCAUAGGUUAAUAUAUCAUCAAUGUCUCAGACGAAUUUGAAAAUUGGUGCCGAUCAAUUAUUUUUAAAAGAGUUAUGCCCCUUGGAGAUAUUGAUUAUAUGGAAAAUUGGAUUGUUAGCACUCUCAUAUGUACAAUUCUUGCUAGAUUUUUAUGAAAUUUAUAUUAUAGGUUUAUAUAUCAUCAAUGUCUCAGACAAAUUUGAAAAUUAGUGCCGAUCAAUUAUUUUAAAAAGAGUUAUGCCCCUUGGAAAUAUUGAUUAUAUGGAAAAAUGCAUUGCUAGCACUCUCAUGUAUACAAUUCUUGCUAAAUUUCAUCAAUGUCUUAGACAAAUUUGAAAAUUGGUGCCGAUCAAUUAUUUGUAAAAAAGUUAUGCCCCUUGGAGAUAUUGCUUAUAUGGAAAAUUGCAUUGUUAGCACUCUCAUAUGUACAAUUCUUGCUAGAUUUUUAUGAACUUUAUAUUAUAAACCGAUCAAUUAUUUUAGAAAGAGUUAUGCCCCUUGGAAAUAUUGAUUAUAUGGAAAAUUGCAUUGUUAGCACUCUCAUGUGUACAAUUCUUUCUAGAUUUUUAUGAAAUUUAUAUCAUAGGUUUAUAUCAGCAUUGUCUUCGACGACUUCGAAAAUUAGUGCCGAUCAAUAUUUUUAAAAGAGUUAUGCCCCUUGGAAAAAUUAAUAAUAACGGAAAUUGCAUUGCAUUUGCUCUGAAGCCUUCAUUUCUCUAAGAUAUUUAUAAUUUGUUUUAAAGAACAAAAACAAGUGUUUUUUUUUAGUUAUUUUAGUUAUUGCCCUUGGGUUGACAAAAUAUGUGCAACGCGGGGGACACUGGAACUCUGUUCUUUUAUUAGUCCCCUACCGACGAAGUCGAAGGGGACUUUAGGUUUGCACUCCGUCCGUCCGUCUGUCUGUCUGUCUGUCUGUCUGUCCGUCAGUCCGGCAAAUCAGUUUUCCACACUUUAUUCUUCAUGCUUGAAGAUAUUGAUAUGAUAUUUGGUGUAUUAUUUUAUCAUGACAAGUUACAGAUCAAGUUCGAAUUUUGUUCCGGUCUGAUGAUUUUGUGCAGAGUAAUGGUCCUUUUACUCAGAAAAUUCACUAAAAUAAUCAGUUUUCCGCACUUUUUUUUUGUCAUUCUUGAAAAUAUUAAUUUGAUAAUUGGGAUUGCUAUUGGGAUAUCGUGACAACACCGCCUGCACUGUGUCUAGCGCUCUAGA